ensembl:snRNA
GUGUUGUAUAAAAGGAGAAAAGUUGGCAUACCUCUUGACGAGGGUGAAAGAGGCUCUCAGGCCUGAGAACACACAGACAGUCAAGGCAUUGCCACCUACUUUGUGUCGUCUGACUAUUCUUA